ACAUUCCAGCAUCGCAGCGCGCAGAAGAAAGCAUCGACGAUAAAGAUAAUCUUUGCUCUUUUACAAUUGUCUUAAUCCUGUCAAAUCAGACAUCGGCCGACGUAAACAUCACGAUAACUUGAACUGUUCAAAAUCCUCACAGGGGCCACUCAUCCAUUUUCAAACCUGGCUUUCCCAGUUGGAAACAAUAUUUAGCUAUUAACUUUGACAUGUUUGUUCCGAUCUGGCUAAAUAUUUACUGUCGACACUAAAAGCAUUUGAGAGCAACGCAUAUAAAAUCGAUUGAACCGUUCGGAGAUUGAAUUAGCGGUCAUUAAUUUGAAAUUCGGCAUUGUCUCUGUGCCUAGUUUUUCCUCGUGAUUGUGCGAAAACUAAACUCGGAAAUCAUCGCAUGUGAUUUGCUUCUGUCGAUCUUUUCCCAGUGACAGCUGACAAUAAUAACAUCAGGUCCAUUGUAACAGGAAGGGUUGUCAUCAUUUUAUAUACACAUGGUAAACGAAAGUCGACACUCCUGAAGGGUCCGAUUACAGCCGUCAUUCCAUCUUUAGUUGUAUUCCGAGACGACGCCUUCCCUUCAUAGUUACUAGAAUUUAAACCAGUAACGCUGGGAGCUCCGAGAUCUCGUAUAUUCAUUACAGUUAAGACGUGGAGGAGAUUGUCCACGCGUUGCCCGAGAAGAACCACAGAUGUGUCGAUUUUGUGUCGUCCUGAUGGCCGCCAUGGCGUUUCUUUGCGGUCAAGCAAGGGCGGAUGUAAAACUAUCAUUACCUCUUGUACCUGCCAAAGUUGGAGCAACAGUGUCAGUUACGUGUACUGUGACUGGUGAGACUUUCCUUGGUUGGUUCAAUCCAAGUGGAAGCAAAAUAACUACUUCACCAUCAGCUGAUAUUCGAGUUGAAAGUAGUGGAAAU